GAUGAACGCUGGCGGCGUGCCUAAUACAUGCAAGUCGAGCGAACAGACGAGGAGCUUGCUCCUCUGACGUUAGCGGCGGACGGGUGAGUAACACGUGGAUAACCUACCUAUAAGACUGGGAUAACUUCGGGAAACCGGAGCUAAUACCGGAUAAUAUAUUGAACCGCAUGGUUCAUUAGUGAAAGACGGUUUUGCUGUCACCUAUAGAUGGAUCCGCGCCGCAUUAGCUAGUUGGUAAGGUAACGGCUUACCAAGGCGACGAUGCGUAGCCGGCCUGAGAGGGUGAUCGGCCACACUGAAACUGAAACACGGUCCAGACUCCUACGGGAGGCAGCAGUAGGGAAUCUUCCGCAAUGGGCGAAAACCUGACGGAGCAACGCCGCGUGAGUGAUGAAGGUCUUCGGAUCGUAAAACUCUGUUAUUAGGGAAGAACAAAUGUGUAAGUAACUAUGCACGUCUUGACGGUACCUAAUCAGAAAGCCCCGGCUAACUACGUG
rnacentral:rRNA from 1 species